GUACAAACUGGACACAGUCGACGUUCAGUUCAAGAAGACAGAGCUCUUCCAGAUAGAGACAAGCACUUUCCAGAUGUUCAAUACAGGGAAGGUAGCCCUGAAAUACUCCUGGGAGGUGACUCUGGAGGAGAAAGGACCAUUGAAGCGUGCUGGGAAGCCGUUCUCGAAAACUCUGAUGAGUUGUUUCUUGCCCUCUGCUGCUGCGGAGCAGAGGCUCAAGCCUCAUGCAAAGCAGGUGCAAUGGGCAUCACCGCUCGAGUCAAC